rnacentral:tRNA from 1 species
UCCCUGGCAGUCCAGCAGUUAGGACUCUGUGCUUCCACUACAGAGAAUAUGGGUUCAAUCCCUGGUUGGGGAA